AAUGGAGACUUUCUGUUGGAAAAGUUUGAUUUUAUGAGGAAUCCGAUAGAGGAUCGAUCGAUAGUGGACUUCAGAUGGCAUUGGGGAGGUUCAUCUGCUGGAGGAGUCUGGAGGAUUCUGUGGAAGUCUGGAUGGCGUUGUUGAGGUCCGACUGACGCUAUUGAAGGUUGAUGGUUGGGGAGGUACGACAGACACCAGAGGUGGUCGGCCAUUGUAGAAAUUCAGUUGCUGGAGCCCGUCUGUUGUAGAAGUUCAUCCGGAAUCCAUCCGCUAUGGAAGUUUAGACGGAGUCUGGUUCUUGUAGAAGGUUGAAAGGAGGUCGCUUAUUGUAGAAGCUCAGUCA
rnacentral:lncRNA from 1 species